rnacentral:rRNA from 1 species
CCUACGGGAGGCUGCAGUGAGGAAUAUUGGUCAAUGGGCGGGAGCCUGAACCAGCCAAGCCGCGUGAGGGAAGAAGGUACAGCGUAUCGUAAACCUCUUUUGUCAGGGAACAAAGGCGGGGACUAGUCCCCGGCUGAGGGUACCUGAAGAAAAAGCAUCGGCUAACUCCGUGCAAGCUGCCGCGGUAAUACGGAGGAUGCGAGCGUUGUCCGGAUUUAUUGGGUUUAAAGGGUGCGCAGGCGGCCUGUUAAGUCAGCGGUAAAAGCCCGGGGCUCAACCCCGGCGAGCCGUUGAAACUGGCGGGCUGGAGUGGGAGAGAAGUACGCGGAAUGCGUGGUGUAGCGGUGAAAUGCUUAGAUAUCGCGCAGAACCCCGAUUGCGAAGGCAGCGUACCGGCUCCACACUGACGCUGAGGCACGAAAGCGUGGGUAUCGAACAGGAUUAGAUACCCUUGUAGUC